rnacentral:rRNA from 1 species
UACAGAGGGUGCAAGCGUUGUUCGGAAUUACUGGGCGUAAAGCGAGUGUAGGCGGUCCGCUAAGUCGGGUGUGAAAGCCCUGGGCUCAACCCAGGAAGUGCACUCGAAACGGGCGGGCUAGAGUACUGGAGAGGUUGGUGGAAUUCUCGGUGUAGAGGUGAAAUUCGUAGAUAUCGAGAGGAACACCGGUGGCGAAGGCGGCCAACUGGACAGAUACUGACGCUGAGACUCGAAAGCGUGGGGAGCAAACAGG